rnacentral:rRNA from 1 species
CAAUAGCGUAUAUUAAAGUUGUUGCAGUUAAAAAGCUCGUAGUUGGAUUUCUGGCUGGAGCGAUCGGUCCGCCCCGCAAGGGUGGUGUACUAGCGUCGUCUCCGACCAUCCUUGUGGGAACUGUGCGGCCGUUAACUCGGUUGUAUAUGGGAACACAUCGUUUACUGUGAAAAAUUAAGAGUGUUUAAAGACAGGCUUAAGCCGUUGAAUACAUUAGCAUGGAAUAAUAAGAUAAGACUUGGGUCGAUUAUUUUGUUGGUUUGUCGGAUCGAGGUAAUGAUUAAUAGGGAUAGUUGGGGGUAGUUCAUAUUUAAUUGUCAGAGGUGAAAUUACUUGGAUUUGUUAAAGACGGACUACUGCGAAAGCAUUUGCCAAGGAUG